rnacentral:rRNA from 1 species
AUGAACGCUGGCGGCGUGCCUAAUACAUGCAAGUCGAGCGAACAGACGAGGAGCUUGCUCCUCUGAUGUUAGCGGCGGACGGGUGAGUAACACGUGGAUAACCUACCUAUAAGACUGGGAUAACUUCGGGAAACCGGAGCUAAUACCGGAUAACAUGUUGAACCGCAUGGUUCAACAGUGAAAGACGGUCUUGCUGUCACUUAUAGAUGGAUCCGCGCCGCAUUAGCUAGUUGGUAAGGUAACGGCUUACCAAGGCAACGAUGCGUAGCCGACCUGAGGGGGUGAUCGGCCACACUGGAACUGAGACACGGUCCAGACUCCUACGGGAGGCAGCAGUAGGGAAUCUUCCGCAAUGGGCGAAAGCCUGACGGAGCAACGCCGCGUGAGUGAAGAAGGUCUUCGGAUCGUAAAACUCUGUUAUUAGGGAAGAACAAAUGUGUAAGUAACUAUGCACGUCUUGACGGUACCUAAUCAGAAAGCCACGGCUAACUACGUG